rnacentral:lncRNA from 1 species
AGAAGGUCUGGAUGCAUUCCUGUUAAAGUUUUUCCCAACGUCUUUUCUUUUCAGCAACAAUCAAAUAUGGAGUAUUUUGAAAACAUGCAAGAAUAUCUGAACUCUCUGCAACUGUAGUUACAGUUGCAUCUACUCAGUUUCUCUAGUGACAAUCGGAUGUUUGAAUUUUCAGAGGGUGUGCUCCUGCAACAUGGUUCAUGUCCAGACUCUUCUAGGAGAUCCAACAGACCACCUGCUUGAUAGCGUGCAGGCUUUGGCCAGUAUCCAGCAACAGAAAUGACAACUCCUAAACUGCAGCUGAGGAGAAGGGAAACCUUGAAAAGAUGAUUUUCAGGUAUCUGAAAAGACUUGGAAGUGUAAAGGAAAGAUAAGAGAUUGGGAGAGGGUGGGGAAGAGUUUAGAGCUAAUGGUGAGGACAGAGACACAAAGUGCUGUGUUUGAAAAUGG